UACGUAGGUGGCAAGCGUUGUCCGGAUUUAUUGGGUUUAAAGGGUGCGUAGGCGGUCAUGUAAGUCAGUGCUGAAAUAUCCCGGCUUAACCGGGAGGGUGGCAUUGAUACUGUAUGACUUGAGUAAAGUUGAGGUUGGCGGAAUUGACGGUGUAGCGGUGAAAUGCGUAGAUAUCUGGAGGAAUACCGGUGGCGAAGGCGGCAUCCUGGACCGGCAUUGACGCUGAUGAGCGAAAGCUAGGGGAGCAAACGGG
rnacentral:rRNA from 1 species